GCAAGUCGAACGGAUUUGAGGGGCUUGCUCCUCAAGUUAGUGGCGCACGGGUGAGUAACGCGUAGAUAAUCUGCCUGAUGAUCCGGGAUAACACUUCGAAAGGGGUGCUAAUACCGGAUAAGCCCACGGGGUCUUUGGACUCUGCGGGAAAAGGGGGGGACCUUCGGGCCUUCUGUCAUCAGAUGAGUCUGCGUACCAUUAGCUAGUUGGUAGGGUAAUGGCCUACCAAGGCUACGAUGGUUAGCUGGUUUGAGAGAAUGAUCAGCCACACUGGAACUGAGACACGGUCCAGACUCCUACGGGAGGCAGCAGUGGGGAAUUUUGCGCAAUGGGCGAAAGCCUGACGCAGCAACGCCGCGUGAGUGAUGAAGGCUUUCGGGUCGUAAAGCUCUGUCGAGGGGAAAGAAGUGUAUUGUGGCUAAUAUCCACGAUACUUGACGGUACCCCUAAAGGAAGCACCGGCUAACUCCGUGCCAGCAGCCGCGGUAAUACGGGGGGUGCAAGCGUUGUUCGGAAUUAUUGGGCGUAAAGAGCGUGUAGGCGGUUUGCUAAGUCUGAUGUGAAAGCCCUGGGCUCAACCCAGGAAGUGCAUUGGAAACUGUCAGACUUGAAUACGGGAGAGGGCAGUGGAAUUCCUAGUGUAGGAGUGAAAUCCGUAGAUAUUAGGAGGAACACCGGUGGCGAAGGCGGCUGCCUGGACCGAUAUUGACGCUGAGACGCGAAAGCGUGGGUAGCAAACAGGAUUAGAUACCCUGGUAGUCCACGCCGUAAACGAUGAGAACUAGGUGUUGCGGGUAUUGACCCCUGCAGUGCCGCAGCUAACGCAUUAAGU
rnacentral:rRNA from 1 species